GUUUUCAAGUUUCUUCCAGGACAUCUGAUAAAUUUGGAACGACAUAGGGUGAAUUAGUAUAGACCUUGCGCAAGGAUCACACGAAAGAAUUUAGAAAUACUUGAAUUCUAU
rnacentral:snRNA from 2 species